rnacentral:rRNA from 1 species
UACGUAGGGUGCGAGCGUUAAUCGGAAUUACUGGGCGUAAAGAGUGCGUAGGCGGUUUGUCAAGUCCGUUGUGAAAUCCCCGGGCUCAACCUGGGAAUGGCAGUGGAAACUAGGAGACUUGAAUCUGGCAGAGGGGGGUGGAAUUCCACGUGUAGCAGUGAAAUGCGUAGAGAUGUGGAGGAACACCGAUGGCGAAGGCAGCCCCCUGGGCUGAGAUUGACGCUCAGGCACGAAAGCGUGGGGAGCAAACAGG